CCUAGGGAGGCUGCAGUGGGGAAUAUUGGACAAUGGGCGAAAGCCUGAUCCAGCCAUGCCGCGUAUGUGAAGAAGGCCUUCGGGUUGUAAAGCACUUUCAGUGGGGAAGAAAGCCUUGGGGCUAAUACCCUCGAGGAAGGACAUCACCCACAGAAGAAGCACCGGCUAACUCCGUGCCAGCAGCCGCGGUAAUACGGAGGGUGCGAGCGUUAAUCGGAAUUACUGGGCGUAAAGCGCGCGUAGGCGGUCUGAUAAGCCGGUUGUGAAAGCCCCGGGCUCAACCUGGGAACGGCAUCCGGAACUGUCAGGCUAGAGUGCAGGAGAGGAAGGUAGAAUUCCCGGUGUAGCGGUGAAAUGCGUAGAGAUCGGGAGGAAUACCAGUGGCGAAGGCGGCCUUCUGGACUGACACUGACGCUGAGGUGCGAAAGCGUGGGUAGCAAACAGGAUUAGAUACCCGUGUAGUC
rnacentral:rRNA from 1 species